AUAUGGCAAUGAAGAUAGUAUAUUCAGCUAAAAAUGUCAGUUCUGCUUCUGAAAAUUUAUGAAAGAGAGCUGAUAGUAAACUGAGCCUUUG